rnacentral:rRNA from 1 species
UUGAACGCUGGCGGCAGGCCUCACACAUGCAAGUCGAGCGGAUGAAGGGAGCUUGCUCCUGGAUUCAGCGGCGGACGGGUGAGUAAUGCCUAGGAAUCUGCCUGGUAGUGGGGGAUAACGUCCGGAAACGGGCGCUAAUACCGCAUACGUCCUGAGGGAGAAAGUGGGGGAUCUUCGGACCUCACGCUAUCAGAUGAGCCUAGGUCGGAUUAGCUAGUUGGUGGGGUAAAGGCCUACCAAGGCGACGAUCCGUAACUGGUCUGAGAGGAUGAUCAGUCACACUGGAACUGAGACACGGUCCAGACUCCUACGGGAGGCAGCAGUGGGGAAUAUUGGACAAUGGGCGAAAGCCUGAUCCAGCCAUGCCGCGUGUGUGAAGAAGGUCUUCGGAUUGUAAAGCACUUUAGGUUGGGAGGAAGGGCAGUAAGUUAAUACCUUGCUGUUUUGACGUUACCAACAGAAUAAGCACCGGCUAACUUCGUG